rnacentral:rRNA from 1 species
CCUACGGGAGGCAGCAGUGAGGAAUAUUGGUCAAUGGGCGAGAGUCUGAACCAGCCAAGUCGCGUGAGGGAUGACUGCCCUAUGGAUUGUAAACUUCUUUUAUAUGGGAAUAAAGCAGGGUAUGCGUCCCCUCUUGUAUGUACCAUAUGAAUAAGGAUCGGCUAACUCCGUGCCAGCAGCCGCGGUAAUACGGAGGAUCCGAGCGUUAUCCGGAUUUAUUGGGUUUAAAGGGAGCGUAGGUGGAUUUUUAAGUCAGUGGUGAAAGUUUGUGGCUCAACCGUAAAAUUGCAGUUGAAACUGGCAGUCUUGAGUACAGUAGAGGUGGGCGGAAUGCGUGGUGUAGCGGUGAAAUGCUUAGAUAUCACGAAGAACCCCGAUUGCGAAGGCAGCCUACCGGACCGUAACUGACACUGAUGCUCGAAAGUGUGGGUAUCAAACAGGAUUAGAUACCCUUGUAGUC